CUCUAUCUCAUUGUAUCUUUUUUGUUUUUUGCUUCGCCUCUACAUCUAUGUCUAUAUAUUUCAGUUGAGGCUGAAAGUAUUGAUUUUGACGUUGGCACUCCUUUCUCGGUGAACACUCUCCAAGUUCAUGGCGGUGAUGAAUCGGCUUCAGGGCAGAAAAUGACUCGAGUGUUCCAACGGCUUUCAGUUUGGGACACAUUAGUCUCGGUGCUCACUUACUACGUUGUUUCUGAACCUCACGGCAAAUUUCCUUGUGGACUGAGCAAACAUUCAGCGAGAGUUAAUAGUUUGAGUAAGGAAGCCAUGAGAUGGAGCUGCAACUUGCCAAUAAGCAUUUGACCAAAUAUUGGAAGCAUUUAUGCAUGUAUAUAUCUGAGGCAUUUGGUUGCAUAAAUGCAAUUUUUCAAAAAUUUUUUAAGACUCAUAUAAUCUAUAUGUGUCAUUUUCCUUCCUCUUUAAUCUUUCAUCCUUCUGCCUGGCGAUCAGAUGUCACCGUGUAUCCGCUGCUAAAGACUUGCUUUCUGCGAGAGGAAGAUUCCUAGUUGGGAGCCAAAGAGUCACAAUCUCAUGACAUCACAUUGACUUGUUUACACUUUCCUACACUCGCUGCAAAAGGAACUCUGCUGUGCUUCUAGCGACUUUAAUUUGCUGCAGCUUCGUAUUCUCUCCCUGUGCUUUAAGAGCUUUCUGAUGUGUGUGGCAUGAUGUAAUUAAAUGAAAGUUUGUAUGCAUUUCACUUGCAAGACAAAAAUGGGGGGAAAGCAAAUUGUUUUAAUUUUCGGUGCGAGUCGUGAGCAAUUUGGUAAAUGAACUCAAAAGUUAUGCUUCUAUUUCCUUUAAUUUUCCUCUGAGUGGGGCUGAUUGUUGGCAUUAUUCUGAUCUACGCAUCUUCAGUAACCUGGUUCACACUGAGGACAAACAGGCAUGUGAAUCCAGUCAAAAAAAAAAAAAAAAAAAAAAAACACGAGCUUCUGCGUGUGUGGCUUUAGAGGUCAUUCAGCUUUAAUCAGACACGGGACCGGAGUUCAGGCCUUGAAAGCAGAUAUCCAGGAACACACCCGUGCACAGACAUGCAUCGCUUUACUCCCUCAGACACCCACAGACAUCUUCCAGGACCCGCCAGAUGCCGGGGCCUCGGCUAAUUGAAGUGAGCUCAUUGAUUGGCUGGUCAUCUGAGACAGAAAGCGCUUAGAAAUCUAAGCCAGUGGCCACAGGGAGAUGAUAAAGUCUGAGUGUCUGGUACAGAGUCACGUUUGGGACUUUGCGGCCACUGACAGCAGGCUGGGCGUGCGUGUUUUUUAUUAGUUUACAUUGUCUUGUGAACAUAUUUAUUACCCUUUGACUUUUUCCACAUUUUGGCACUCCGUAGCCACGAACCUGGUUGCAUUUUAUUUUCAGGUUUAUGUGGUGCACCAGCGCAAAGCGGUGCAUGCUUUCGGAGGGGAAGGAAAACGAUGCAUGUUUCUCAGACUCAUUAAAAUAAAUAAAUAAAAAUAAUGUAACCACCCUUUUAUUCUGAUAUUCAUAAUCGGCAUCCAUUAUAAGCAACUACCCUGGGAAGUCAGCAAGUAAGAUCUGUAUGUAAUGGAGAAGUUUCUUAUAUUAAAGGGCACAACAACCAAAACAUUGCAAAAUUAAAACCAUUGUCCCCAUAGGGAGGCAUGGCAGUGGCUGCAUAGUGCUCUGAGAAUGGGAAGGUAAAUUAUGUAGAGUUGAUUACAGUAUAGAGCUAAAAAAAAAAAGGUAAUUAUGAUAGAAAACCUGUUUAACUGUAAAGGAUAUUACAAUGGGUUAAUUUUGGUUAAAAGAAAUUCAUCUAAUUUGAAAGGCCCAGUCAAAGUCCACGUCUAAAUCCAGUUCAUUUGUGGCAAAAUUGAAAAACUGAUGCUCACAGAUGCCAUCCAUUCAGACAAUUUUUGCAAGUUUGAUAAACUUCUAUCAUUCUUCCUCCACUUCAAAUAUUUUCCCCUUUGUGUUCGUCUGACACAUAAAACGCUUAAAAAAUACGUCAAUAUUUGUGGUUCUAAUUGGUAUGAAAAUGUGGAAAGUAGUAUGAACACUUUUUACGAGGAAAUGUACAGUAGCUGGCUAUAAGUACCUCCGCAAAAACCUGCUUCAGAUCUGAUGAGCACCUCCGCCGCCCCGAGAAAUGAUGUGAACGCGAGCGCAAGAACGAUGUCACGUUCUCAUUGUGCGAUCUUAAUUCCCCCGACUGCAUCCGAUGAGGCGUAUUCCCAUUUGCAUUCCGCCUUAGAACAAGGCUUUAAAGUACUUUUCAAGCCCAAUUUAGAAGCAAACUUUUCAAAUUAAGGCUACUUUAUGGUAAUGAGGUGGGAGCAGUGUGAAUUGUAAGUCCAUCUGGUGGAAAUGUGAGUGAGAAAAUGGAUCAGAGGCGCUCGCUGCCCUCUUAACUGCUUCAAAGCAGGCGCACAUCCAGUCUGAACCCCGCAUUGUCCGACGGGGGGUAAUGACUGCGUGCAAGACUCGCCUGUGAAUUUUCCGAGCGCGCUGCUGAAUUUCUUUGAAACGGUGAAGUUGCAGCCACUCGAAACGUGAGGGGCGAAGUUGAUUGUGUGACUUGCUCAAGGGUUGGAAUCUAAGGUAAUCAUACUGUCCUCUUUUUCCAAUGUAUUAUCUUUUAGAGUAUCCUUUUUUUUUAUUCCAGUGGGGGAGCGAAAUUUAGCCUGUUGCCCAAGGGAUUUAAUCACAAUGGAAUGCAUGUCAAGUCUUGUGGGAAACCAUCAGAAGUAGGUCCACGCUCCAUUUUGAAAUCUUUUUUUUUGUGCUACUUGUACCCUUGUCACAUUUGCUUGCAACAAACUCCAUUGAGUUGCUAAUGGAGUCUUGUAGCAUUUCUGUUGUUCUGUAGUGGAACAAACAAGCCCAGAUUUUUUCCACCCAGUCUUCCUCCGUCUCCUCUUGGAGUGAAUCAGUGCAUGUUGCUGUUUUGCUUUUUGUGUGUGUGUGUGUGUGUGAGAGGAAGGCUUGAUUUAAAAGCUGCUGCGGGGGACUUCCUCCUUUCCUGAUUGCCGAUGCCACGAAAACAUUCAUGGUAGCGCACACAAACACAUCUGCGCUCCCUUUCGACGCACGAGCUCCGCAACAGAAAAAAGAGCAUCUCUGUCCAAGUGUGCGGAAAUGUGUGUGUGUCUUUUCUGUGUGGGUGGCUAGCUGCGCUACUGGGGGGGG